rnacentral:rRNA from 1 species
UACGAAGGGGGCUAGCGUUGCUCGGAAUUACUGGGCGUAAAGGGAGCGUAGGCGGAUAUUUAAGUCGGGGGUGAAAGCCCAGGGCUCAACCCUGGAACUGCCUUCGAUACUGGAUAUCUAGAGUAUGGGAGAGGUGUGUGGAACUCCGAGUGUAGAGGUGAAAUUCGUAGAUAUUCGGAAGAAGCACCAGGUGGCGAAGGCGACUUACUGGACACAUAUUGACGCUGAGGUGACGAAAGCGUGGGGAGCAAACAGGA